rnacentral:rRNA from 1 species
UGUCGACCUCAGAUCAGACGAGAUUACCCGCUAAAUUUAAGCAUAUCAAUAAGCGGUGGAAAAGAAACGAAAACGAAUUCUCCAAGUAGCGGCGAGCGAAACGAGAAAAGUCCAUACACCGAAGUCGGCGAGCAGUGCUGUUCGUCAACAGUGUGGUGUUAAAGGUGUCGUUGCAUGUGCUGAGAUCAGUUCGUAGGCUCCCUUGAUUGGGGCUUCAGAGCGGGUGCAGGACCCAUAACGAACGGUCUUUUGUGCAUGGUGUCGCGGCGCUUUGUCGAGUCGGGUUGCUUGAGACUGCAGCCCAAAGCGGGUGGUAAAUCUCACCCAAGACUAAAUAUUCGUACGAGACCGAUAGCGAACAAGUACCGCGAGGGAAAGUUGAAAAGAACUCUGAAGAGAGAGUUCAACAGGACGUGAAACCGUUGACAGGCAAACGGAUGGAGCUGACGGUGGAAAUUUGACCAAAAUCAGUCGUUGCUUGGUUUGUUGGCAAAUGAGUCUUUUGUGAACUUUUCUGUUUGUGGAGACGGGCGUUUGUUUCGAAUCAACGCACGGUGCACUUUUGGUCGAUUAGCGUCACGAGCAACGUUCGAUUUCUUUGUGCUGCUGACAGUGCUGCUGUUUGUUGCUCUUCAAAAAGCAACAAGCAAUGAAGGCGGCGUCUUUUUUUGGAAGAGGUAGUGAAUUGAGAAUGCGCUUGUUUUUUGGAGUGCUUUUUCGCAUUGCCGUGCCAAUGCCGCAGCUGUCGGAUGAAUGUUGUCAUUGCAAAAUUGAAAAGCAUCGUUUCGCGUUGUGUUGCAUUGGGUCCGUUGGUGCCGUUGCGUUCGUGUGUUUCGGCGCACGAUUGAACUGGUUAGUUGGGAAAAAAGUCAAUUUAUGAAUGUAAUUGAUCUGGCUACCGUGCGUAACGGUAUUCAAAUGUGUGUAUGAUGGACUUUAUUUGCAAUCGGCGCUCAAUGUGUUUUCUUUUAUCGGUGGCGUCAAUGUUAGCCUCCCAUCCGACCCGUCUUGAAACACGGACCAAGGAGUUCAGUAGGCACGCGAGUCGUUGACGUUGUGCAUUGAACAGUCGAAGGCGUAAUGAAAGUAAGAAAAAAGUGAACGGUGCUUUUCUUGGGUGCCGUUUGCUUUUCAACAUGAUCGUCCUUUUUUGUGCUUAAUUGUGCAAAAUUGAUAGAUGGGGACGCGCAGUGUGGUGCCGUUGAAUAGUCGCACUGUUCUUUCUUUCUCUUCGGGGUUGGAGGAACAAUUGUCGAUCAGUCGGUUUCGGAGCGUGCACACUGGUACCCGAAAGAUGGUGAACUAUGCUUGAGCAGAAUGAAGCCAGAGGAAACUCUGGUGGAAGUUCGUAGCGGUGUUGACGUGCAAAUCACUCGUCUGACUUGAGUGUAGGGGCGAAAGACUAAUCGAACCAUCUAGUUGCUGGUUCCUUCCGAAGUUUCCCUCAGGAUAGCUGGCAUUUGUGUGUAACAAUUUUAUCCGGUAGAGCGAAUGAUUAGAGGUGUUGGGAACGCAAUGUUCUCAGCCUAUUCUCAAACUUCGAAUGGGUAAGCAAGGCGAUUUGCUUUGAUCUGUUGAUGAAAUCGCCCAACUUUUUUGUGUUGAAGAAUGUAUAAAUGCCUAGUGGGCCAAUUUUGGUAAGCAGAACUGGCGAUGUGGAAUGAACCAAAAGUCAGGUUAAGGUGCCAGACAUUGGCGCUCAUGAAAUACCAGAAAAGGUGUUGGUCGAUAUAGACAGCAGGACGGUGGCCAUGGAAGUUGGAAUCCGCCAAGGAGUGUGUAACAACUCACCUGCCGAAUCGACUAGCCCUGAAAAUGGAUAGCGUUUGAGCGCCAGGCCCAUACCUGACCGUCUCAGUUACGCACUUUUGUUGUUUCAAUGAUGAAGGUGUAAUGAACGUUGAGACGGGUAGGAAGGUCGCGACAGUGUUGCUUUGAAGAGUUUUGAGCGUGAGCUCGCUCGGAGCCGCUGUUGGUGCAGAUCUUGGUGGUAGUAGCAAAUAUUCAAGUGAGAACCUUGAAGGCUGAAGUGGAGCAAGGUUCCAUGUGAACAGCAGUUGAACAUGGGUCAGUCGGUCCUGAGAGAUGGGCGAGUGCCGUUCCGAAGGGACGGGCGAUGGCCUCCGUUGCCCUCGGCCGAUCGAAAGGGAGUCGGGUUCAGAUCCCCGAAUCCGGAGUGGCGGAGAUGGGCGCCGCGAGGCGUCCAGUGCGGUAACGCGACCGAUCCCGGAGAAGCCGGCGGGAGCCCCGGGGAGAGUUCUCUUUUCUUUGUGAAGGGCAGGGCGCCCUGGAAUGGGUUCGCCCCGAGAGAGGGGCCCGUGCCUUGGAAAGCGUCGCGGUUCCGGCGGCGUCCGGUGAGCUCUCGCUGGCCCUUGAAAAUCCGGGGGAGAGGGUGUAAAUCUCGCGCCGGGCCGUACCCAUAUCCGCAGCAGGUCUCCAAGGUGAAUAGCCUCUGGCCGAUAGAAUAAUGUAGGUAAGGGAAGUCGGCAAAACGGAUCCGUAACUUCGGAACAAGGAUUGGCUCUAAGGGCUGGGCCGAUCGGGCUGAGGUUUCAAGCGUGCAGUGUAUGCUUGGCUGAGCUGUGCUGAGGAUUGAUUAGCUUGGUGCCGUUUGUUGACCCAAGCGGCUGUCCAGGUGGUCAUGUCUGAAGCAAAGCUGGCCGACAGACCGGCACGUGCAGAACCUGAGCUGCGCGGCUGUCAGUUUAUUUGUACAGACCGUUUCGGUCGGCAUUCAACAGCCAACUUAGAACUGGCACGGACACAAGGAAUCUGACUGUAUAAUUAAAACAAAGCAUUGCGAUGGCCGAUGAUCGGUGUUGACGCAAUGUGAUUUCUGCCCAGUGCUCUGAAUGUCAAAGUGAAGAAAUUCAACCAAGCGCGGGUAAACGGCGGGAGUAACUAUGACUCUCUUAAGGUAGCCAAAUGCCUCGUCAUCUAAUUAGUGACGCGUAUGAAUGGAUCAACAAGAUUCCUUCUGUCCCUAUCUACUAUCUAGCGAAACCACAGCCAAGGGAACGGGCUUGGCAAAAUCAGCGGGGAAAGAAGACCCUGUUGAGCUUGACUCUAGUCUGACUCUGUGAAGAGACAUGAAAGGUGUAGCAUAGGUGGGAGGCUGCAGCCGGGCACUGCUUGCGCGGUGUCUCUGUGGUCGCCAUGAAAUACCACUACUUUGACAUAGCGUGUUCGAGGAAAACCUUUUGAAAAGCACGUUCAUUGCUUGACUUGUUGUUUAUUAUUAAAUUAACAUGGCUGAGGAUGUGGCUGGCAAAUUCAAAGAGGCCGGUAUUGUACCGGAUGUUUUGGACAAGGCACCGACUGAGAAAUUGGAAGUAUUGUUUCCAGGAAAGCCGGCCGUUAGCCUUGGCGAUAUAUUUCACACUCUAGAUGUACGUCAUGCUCCGAAAGUUAGCUAUCCAGGAAAAGAAGGCCAUUAUUACUCUUUGAUCAUGAUAGAUCCUGAUAAUUUGAGCCGUGAAAAUCCAUGUC